UGGGGAAUUUUCCGCAAUGGGCGCAAGCCUGACGGAGCAAUACCGCGUGAGGGAGGAAGGCUUUUGGGUUGUAAACCUCUUUUCUCAAGGAAGAAGCACUGACGGUACUUGAGGAAUCAGCAUCGGCUAACUCCGUGCCAGCAGCCGCGGUAAUACGGAGGAUGCAAGCGUUAUUCGGAAUUAUUGGGCGUAAAGCGUCCGCAGGUGGUGCCUCAAGUCUGCUGUCAAAGACCGAAGCUCAACUUCGGGCAGGCAGUGGAAACUGCAUAACUAGAGUGCGUUCGGGGCAGAGGGAAUUCCUGGUGUAGCGGUGAAAUGCGUAGAUAUCAGGAAGAACACCGGUGGCGAAAGCGCUCUGCUAGGCCGCAACUGACACUGAGGGACGAAAGCUAAGGGAGCGAAUGGGAUUAGAUACCCCCGUAGUCC
rnacentral:rRNA from 1 species